UACGGGGGGAGCAAGCGUUGUUCGGAUUUACUGGGCGUAAAGGGCGCGUAGGCGGCGCAACAAGUCACUUGUGAAAUCUCCGGGCUUAACUCGGAAAGGUCAAGUGAUACUGUUGUGCUAGAGUGCAGAAGGGGCAACUGGAAUUCUCGGUGUAGCGGUGAAAUGCGUAGAUAUCGAGAGGAACACCUGCGGCGAAGGCGGGUUGCUGGGCUGACACUGACGCUGAACUGCGAAAGCUAGGGGAGCGAACGGG
rnacentral:rRNA from 1 species